rnacentral:lncRNA from 1 species
AUUACGAAUACGAGUUCGAUGUAGCUCCUAUAAAGGACAAAUAUACAUUGACAUUGUCUGAUCGCAAUAUAUGGAAUACUGGAAUGCGUAAUAUUUCAUUCCAAAAGGUUCAAAUCAACGAUAAGAAUCAAAUAAUGCAAUCUCUGCUUACUGGUCUCCGAGCUAAUCAUACCUAUAAUAGUAAUCAUUUGAAAUAUACUGAUAGAAUAGAGAAAAAGGAUUAUAUAACUUAUGGGACAACUCCAGUGACUAAUCUUUUGUGUCAACCGGAUUUGUAUGUUGGAGCCAUUCCUCCUUUGACAACCAGUCCUUUUGCCGCC